GGAAGACAAAUCCUUGCAGAAGGUUGCGAUUUCAGGCCCAAUCUUAGCCUCUUUGAUCCAACGCUUCUCCUCCUCCUCCGGCGCCGUCGACGGCCUUCUUUUCGGUCAUGUCUCCGACGUUACCCCCUUAUCCCUCUCCGAUGAUUCAUCUUCUUCAACCAACACCGAACCAUCACUACGCGUCGCCACCAUCACCGGGUUUCUCUGCUCCGGUACCACCAAUAGCUU
rnacentral:misc_RNA from 1 species